rnacentral:rRNA from 1 species
AGCGAACGCUGGCGGCAGGCCUAAUACAUGCAAGUCGAGCGCACCUUCGGGUGAGCGGCGGACGGGUGAGUAACGCGUGGGAACGUGCCCUUUGGUACGGGAUAACUCAGGGAAACUUGAGCUAAUACCGUAUGUGCCCUUCGGGGGAAAGAUUUAUCGCCAUUGGAGCGGCCCGCGUUGGAUUAGCUAGUUGGUGGGGUAAAGGCCUACCAAGGCUACGAUCCAUAGCUGGUCUGAGAGGAUGAUCAGCCACACUGGGACUGAGACACGGCCCAGACUCCUACGGGAGGCAGCAGUAGGGAAUCUUGCGCAAUGGGCGAAAGCCUGACGCAGCCAUGCCGCGUGAAUGAUGAAGGUCUAGGAUUGUAAAAUUCUUUCACCGGGGAAGAUAAUGACGGUACCCGGAGAAGAAGCCCCGGCUAACUUCGUGCCAGCCGCCGCGGUAA